rnacentral:rRNA from 1 species
GGAGUCUGGGCCGUAUCUCAGUCCCAAUGUGGCCGUUCAACCUCUCAGUCCGGCUACUGAUCGUAGUCUUGGUGGGCCGUUACCCCGCCAACUAACUAAUCAGACAUGAGCCCAUCCCAGAGCGAUAAAUCUUUGGUUGCAGAGAGAUGCCUCCCCGCAACUUCAUGCGGUAUUAGCAGCCGUUUCCAGCUGUUGUCCCCCUCUCCAGGGCAGGUUGCUCAUGCAUUACUCACCCGUCCGCCACUAAGUCAAAGCUUCAAUUGACCGAAGUCUCUUUCCGCAGUGCUUCGUUCGACUUGCAUGUGUUAGGCACGCCGCCAGCGUUGUC